GAGUAAGCUGUCGUUAGUUGCAGGUCUGAGGCGGGAACCGGGGCUCCUCAUGUGUUCGCGGCUCGGUUCAGCCUUCCACGAGCUCCUGAAGUUCUGCCAUUCCCCGUGGUCUGCAGUUCAGGAAGCUUCUGGAACAUGCGGCGCCUCUGCCAUGGAAACAAUAUCCGCGUCAUCAGCUUCAGAUGUGUUCUUGGAACACUGAGUUCGCCUUGGCAGCUGUCCGAAAGUUAAUCCUGUGAAGGGACCUGAAGCAGCCCUCUGAGGAAGUCUCGCGCACCCCUGCCGAAGAACAUCGCAGUGUGUUCAUUCCCCUUCCGUUGGCCUCGGGAUCCAAGCAGGAAAGAAGAGGGAAGAACUCUGAAGGACAUGAGAGGGACCCAGCUUACAGUCCAGGGUUCCCAGACUGCCCUUUGAGAAUAAAAUAGGAGGCCAGAACCAAAGUCUUUUGGAUAAAACACCGCGACUGACCACACACUAACCCAUUUGGCUGCCCUCCUUCCCAAGGCACAGAUCAUCCCGGCAUGUGAAGGCCUCCUCUCCCUCCCUCCCUCCCUUCUGACCCAUUUUCACUCUUCCACCACACAAUCAAAAUAAAUAAAUAAAUGAAAAAAAA
ensembl:lincRNA 4933404O12Rik RIKEN cDNA 4933404O12 gene